GCUCUGGUAGCCCAACUGGCAGAGGCGGUCGGCUCAAACCCGGCUUGUUGUGGGUUCGAAUCCCACCCAGAGCACCA
rnacentral:tRNA from 1 species